AGUGAACGCUGGCGGUAGGCUUAACACAUGCAAGUCGAACGGCAGCACAGUAAGAGCUUGCUCUUACGGGUGGCGAGUGGCGGAUGGGUGAGGAAUACAUUGGAAUUUACUUUUUCGUGGGGGAUAACGUAGGGAAACUUACGCGAAUAUCGCAUACGACCUACGGGUGAAAGCAGGGGAUGUUCGGACCUUGCGCGAUUGAAUGAGCCGAUGUCGGAUUAGCUAGUUGGCGGGGUAAAGGCCCACCAAGGCGACGAUCCGUAGCUGGUCUGAGAGGAUGAUCAGCCACACUGGAACUUAGACACGGUCCAGACGCCUGCGGGAGGCAGCAGUGGGGAAUAUUGGACAAAGGGCGCAAGCCUGAUCCAGCCAUACCGCGUGUGUGAAGAAGGCCUUCGGGUUGUAAAGCCCUUUUGUUGGGAAAGAAAAGCAGCAGGUUAAUACCCCGCUGUUCUGACGGUACCCAAAGAAUAAGCACCGGCUAACUUCGUG
rnacentral:rRNA from 1 species